rnacentral:rRNA from 1 species
UACGUAGGGGGCAAGCGUUGUCCGGAUUUAUUGGGCGUAAAGAGCGUGUAGGCGGCCAGAUAGGUCCGUUGUGAAAACUCGAGGCUCAACCUCGAGACGCCGAUGGAAACCAUCUGGCUAGAGUCCGGAAGAGGAGAGCGGAAUUCCCGGUGUAGCGGUGAAAUGCGCAGAUAUCGGGAAGAACACCCGUGGCUAAGGCGGCUCUCUAGUACGGUACUGACGCUGAGACGCGAAAGCGUGGGGAGCGAACAGG